rnacentral:rRNA from 1 species
UACGAAGGGGGCUAGCGUUGCUCGGAAUCACUGGGCGUAAAGCGCACGUAGGCGGCGCCGUAAGUCAGGGGUGAAAUCCCGGAGCUCAACUCCGGAACUGCCCUUGAAACUGCAGUGCUAGAAUCUUGGAGAGGCGAGUGGAAUUCCGAGUGUGGAGGUGAAAUUCGUAGAUAUUCGGAAGAACACCAGUGGCGAAGGCGACUCGCUGGACAAGUAUUGACGCUGAGGUGCGAAAGCGUGGGGAGCAAACAGG